AUAAUGAAAACUUCUCGUAUUUUUCUAAUUUUGCAGUAAUAAACCCACAAUGGCCACAGUUAAUCAAGGUGGUGAUGGACCAUGGAAUACUACAGUAGAAAGGAUAGUCAUAAGGACACACAUGGAAAUGAGAAAUGCUCCUCCUAGAAUCAAUGCAACUGAUGUUACUGCCAACAGGCUCAAUAAUGUAAUCAGAUUUCAGCUCAAUCCAGACGUAUAUGAUGUUAUAGCCAUCAGGCAGAAUCGCAACAUCAGAC